rnacentral:rRNA from 1 species
UUCUUUUAAUCGAGUAUUUUUGCCUUCGGGUACAAUUGAGACAGGUGGUGCAUGGUUGUCGUCAGCUCGUGUCGUGAGAUGUUGGGUUAAGUCCCGCAACGAGCGCAACCCUUGUGUUUAGUUGCAAACAGGUCAAGCUGUGCACUCUAGACAGACUGCCGUGGACAACACGGAGGAAGGUGGGGAUGACGUCAAAUCAUCAUGCCCCUUAUGAUCUGGGCUACACACGUGCUACAAUGGCCGGUACAACGGGCAGCGAAGGAGCGAUCCGGAGCGAAUCCUAAAAAGCCGGUCCCAGUUCGGAUUGCAGGCUGAAACUCGCCUACAUGAAGUUGGAGUUGCUAGUAAUCGCGAAUCAGCCAUGGCGCGGUGAAUACGUUCCCGGGCCUU